rnacentral:hammerhead_ribozyme from 1 species
AUCCAGUUGAUGAGCCCCAAAUAGGACGAAAUGUGCAUCCUGGAU